rnacentral:rRNA from 1 species
UACGAGGGAUCCUAGCGUUGUUCGGAAUCAUUGGGCGUAAAGGGUGUGUAGGCGGCCAUGUAAGUCAGUUGUGAAAGCCCCGGGCUCAACCCGGGAAGUGCUUCUGAUACUGCUUGGCUUGAGUAUUGGAUAGGUGAGUGGAAUUCCAGGUGUAGUGGUGAAAUACGUAGAUAUCUGGAGGAACACCGGCGGCGAAGGCG